CGCCAGACUCCUACGGGAGGCAGCAGUGAGGAAUAUUGGUCAAUGGGCGGAAGCCUGAACCAGCCAAGUCGCGUGAGGGAAGACUGCCCUAUGGGUUGUAAACCUCUUUUGUCAGGGAGCAAUUGGCGCUACGUGUAGCGUUAUCGAGAGUACCUGAAGAAAAAGCAUCGGCUAACUCCGUGCCAGCAGCCGCGGUAAUACGGAGGAUGCGAGCGUUAUCCGGAUUUAUUGGGUUUAAAGGGUGCGUAGGCGGAAUGCCAAGUCAGCGGUAAAAUCGCGGGGCUCAACCCCAUCCAGCCGUUGAAACUGGGGAUCUAGAGUGUGCGAGAGGUAUGCGGAAUGCGUGGUGUAGCGGUGAAAUGCAUAGAUAUCACGCAGAACCCCGAUUGCGAAGGCAGCAUACCGGUGCACAACUGACGCUCAGGCACGAAAGCGUGGGUAUCGAACAGGAUUAGAUACCCCUGUAAA
rnacentral:rRNA from 1 species